GACCAGACUCCUACGGGAGGCAGCAGUGGGGGAUAUUGCACAAUGGGGGAAACCCUGAUGCAGCGACGCCGCGUGGGUGAAGAAGCGCCUCGGCGCGUAAAGCCCUGUCAGCAGGGAAGAAAAUGACGGUACCUGACUAAGAAGCCCCGGCUAACUACGUGCCAGCAGCCGCGGUAAUACGUAGGGGGCAAGCGUUAUCCGGAUUUACUGGGUGUAAAGGGAGCGUAGACGGCAGUGCAAGUCCGGAGUGAAAGCCCGGGGCUCAACCCUGGGACUGCUCUGGAAACUGUAAAGCUGGAGUGCUGGAGAGGUAAGCGGAAUUCCUGGUGUAGCGGUGAAAUGCGUAGAUAUCAGGAGGAACACCGGUGGCGAAGGCGGCUUACUGGACAGUGACUGACGUUGAGGCUCGAAAGCGUGGGGAGCGAACAGGAUUAGAUCCCCCCGUA
rnacentral:rRNA from 1 species